rnacentral:sRNA from 1 species
UCCAUCCCUGAAUGUCGUCGGGUA